rnacentral:rRNA from 1 species
CGGUAAUACGGAGGAUCCAAGCGUUAUCCGGAAUCAUUGGGUUUAAAGGGUCCGUAGGCGGUCAGAUAAGUCAGUGGUGAAAGCCCAUCGCUCAACGGUGGAACGGCCAUUGAUACUGUCUGACUUGAAUUAUUAGGAAGUAACUAGAAUAUGUAGUGUAGCGGUGAAAUGCUUAGAGAUUACAUGGAAUACCAAUUGCGAAGGCAGGUUACUACUAAUGGAUUGACGCUGAUGGACGAAAGCGUGGGUAGCGAACAGGAUUAGAUACCCUGGUAGUCCACGCCGUAAACGAUGGAUACUAGCUGUUGGGAGUAAUCUCAGUGGCUAAGCGAAAGUGAUAAGUAUCCCACCUGGGGAGUACGAACGCAAGUUUGAA